UGAACAGAUUAUUGUAUUCGACUGUAUUCACGGUGUGAAAUAGGGGAUUACACUGUUUUUAAAACGAAAAGCGAAUCAAUUAACAUAAUAGACUCCU
rnacentral:pre_miRNA from 1 species